UCUCCGUUGGUGAACCAGCGGAGGGAUCAUUACAGGACUCGCAAGACUCCUACAACCCUGUGAACUUAACUAUAAGCACGUUGCUUCGGCGGGUGUCUCGGAGGGGGUUCUCCCUCCCCGAGACGCUAAACCCGCCGGCAGCCUACCAUACUCUGUCUCUUUGCGUUGGCAUCUCGAGUACAAUCAAACAAGUUAAAACUUUCAACAACGGAUCUCUUGGUUCUG
rnacentral:misc_RNA from 1 species